UGCGUAGGCGGGUUUCUAAGUCAGAGGUGAAAGCCUGGAGCUCAACUCCAGAACUGCCUUUGAUACUGGAAGUCUUGAGUAUGGCAGAGGUGAGUGGAACUGCGAGUGUAGAGGUGAAAUUCGUAGAUAUUCGCAAGAACACCAGUGGCGAAGGCGGCUCACUGGGCCAUUACUGACGCUGAGGCACGAAAGCGUGGGGGAGCAAACA
rnacentral:rRNA from 1 species